UACGUAGGGGGCAAGCGUUGUCCGGAAUCAUUGGGCGUAAAGCGCGCGUAGGCGGCCCUGUAAGUCCGUUGUGAAAGUCGAAGGCUCAACCUUCGAAAGCCGAUGGAUACUGCAGGGCUAGAGUCCGGAAGAGGAGAGUGGAAUUCCUGGUGUAGCGGUGAAAUGCGCAGAUAUCAGGAGGAACACCGGUGGCGAAGGCGGCGUUCUGGACUGUUUCUGACACUGAAAAACGAAAGCCAGGGGAGCAAACGGG
rnacentral:rRNA from 1 species